UACGUAGGGUGCAAGCGUUAAUCGGAAUUACUGGGCGUAAAGCGUGCGCAGGCGGUGAUGUAAGACAGAUGUGAAAUCCCCGGGCUCAACCUGGGAACUGCAUUUGUGACUGCAUCGCUGGAGUGUGGCAGAGGGGGAUGGAAUUCCGCGUGUAGCAGUGAAAUGCGUAGAUAUGCGGAGGAACACCGAUGGCGAAGGCAUCCCCUGGGCCUGCACUGACGCUCAUGCACGAAAGCGUGGGGAGCAAACAGG
rnacentral:rRNA from 1 species